rnacentral:misc_RNA from 1 species
GGAAAUCUAUUGAACGGGAGAAGCUACUAGAAACCGAAGUUACGAUGAGGAAGUGGACGAUCCCUUUCGCCUUGCUUCUGUUAUGCCUUCUAUCUCUCAUCUCAGAUCAAGGACGGAAUUUGCAAGCAAAUGCAGAGAGUGAUCCACAGAAUCCUGUAGAUCCUCCAAAGGUUGAGGAGAAACUCGGAGCCGUUCCUAAUGGUUUAUCUACUGAUUCUGAUGUAGCAAAGAGGGAAGCGGAGUCGAUUUCAAAGAGAUCACUUCGCAGUAAUGCGCAGAAAUAUGAGUUCCAGGCCGAGGUGUCUCGGCUCAUGGACAUCAUUAUCAAUUCUCUUUACAGUAAUAAAGACAUUUUCCUCAGGGAGUUGAUCUCCAAUGCAUCUGAUGCCUUAGACAAGAUUAGAUUCCUUGCCCUUACGGACAAAGAGGUUUUGGGUGAAGGGGAUAACACAAAGCUUGACAUUCAGAUAAAGCUGGACAAACAAAACAAAAUUCUUUCAAUUCGUGAUAGAGGUAUAGGUAUGACAAAGGAGGAUUUGAUCAAGAACUUGGGAACCAUAGCAAAAUCUGGAACUUCAGCAUUUGUGGAGAAAAUGCAGACAAGUGGAGACCUCAAUCUAAUCGGACAAUUUGGUGUCGGAUUCUAUUCGGUGUAUCUGGUUGCUGACUAUGUUGAAGUCAUCAGUAAACAUAACGAUGACAAACAGCAUGUAUGGGAAUCAAACGCUGAUGGAGCAUUUGCAAUCUCCGAGGAUACAUGGAAUGAACCAUUGGGACGUGGAACCGAGAUUAGACUGCAUCUUAGAGAAGAAGCUGGGGAAUACUUGGAGGAGAGCAAAUUGAAAGUCAGUAUCUUUUAUCAUUUUUUUGUUGUUGUUUUUAGAUGUCUACAAUGUUUUUUUUUUAUGGCGUUGAUGAUGUCCUCCAUGAUAAUAACUUGCGUUUUGGUGAAUUGAAUGCAGUAUAGUACAUGUAUUGCUGGGCAAAUUUCAAUUUUGGUUGGGUGCUGAUAGGACUUGUGUCCUUGUUUUGUGCUUGGUUAUUUGAAAUGAUUCUUAGAUGGUUCUAUAGGUUAGAUCACUGGCUCAAAAUUUAUUUUCUUUGCAGGAGCUAGUGAAGAAAUAUUCUGAAUUCAUCAACUUCCCUAUCUAUUUAUGGGCAAGUAAAGAAGUUGAUGUGGAAGUUCCUGCUGAUGAAGAUGAGUCUAGUGAUGAAGAGGAAAAACCUGAAAGCUCUGAAGAGGAAGAGGAAACUGAGAAAGGUGAAGACGAGGAUGCAGAGGACAAACCAAAGACAAAAAAAGUGAAGGAAACUACUUAUGAUUGGGAACUUUUGAAUGACGUCAAGGCGAUAUGGCUGCGAAAUCCAAAGGAGGUGACAGAUGAAGAGUACACAAAAUUCUAUCAUUCUCUAGCAAAGGAUUUUGGUGAUGAGAAGCCUUUAGCUUGGAGUCAUUUUACAGCAGAAGGGGAUGUUGAAUUCAAGGCUGUUUUGUUUGUGCCUCCAAAGGCUCCUCAUGAUCUUUAUGAGAGUUAUUACAACGCUAACAAAUCCAACUUGAAGUUGUAUGUUAGACGUGUCUUCAUCUCGGAUGAAUUUGAUGAGCUUUUGCCUAAGUAUUUGAACUUUUUGAAGGGUCUUGUUGAUUCCGAUACUUUACCACUCAAUGUUUCACGAGAAAUGCUCCAACAACACAGUAGCUUGAAAACAAUUAAGAAGAAACUUAUUCGAAAGGCCCUUGAUAUGAUCCGUAGAAUUGCUGAUGAGGAUCCUGAUGAGGCAAAGGACAAAGACAAGAAAGAUGUUGAGGAUUCCAGUGAUGAUGAGAAGAAAGGUCAAUAUGCAAAAUUUUGGAAUGAGUUCGGCAAGUCUAUCAAACUUGGCAUAAUUGAGGAUGCAGCUAACAGAAAUCGCUUGGCAAAACUUCUCAGAUUUGAGAGCACUAAGUCAGAUGGUAAAUUGACUUCACUUGAUCAAUACAUCUCAAGAAUGAAAUCAGGGCAGAAGGAUAUCUUCUACAUAACUGGACCAAACAAGGAACAACUGGAGAAAUCUCCAUUCCUAGAAAGACUCAAGAAGAAAGGUUACGAGGUCAUUUUCUUCACAGAUCCAGUUGAUGAAUACUUGAUGCAAUAUUUGAUGGAUUAUGAAGACAAAAAAUUCCAGAAUGUUUCUAAGGAAGGCCUAAAACUUGGGAAAGACUCUAAAGACAAGGAACUGAAGGAGUCAUUCAAGGAGCUUACCAAGUGGUGGAAGGGUGCCCUUGCCAGUGAGAAUGUGGAUGAUGUGAAGAUAAGCAAUCGUUUGGAUAACACACCUUGUGUGGUUGUGACAUCUAAGUACGGAUGGAGUGCAAAUAUGGAAAGGAUAAUGCAGUCUCAGACCUUAACAGAUGCUAACAAGCAAGCAUACAUGCGGGGGAAGAGGGUGCUGGAGAUUAACCCAAGACACCCAAUCAUCAAGGAGCUCCGUGAGAGAGUAGUCAAGGACCCUGAGGACGGGAAUGUAAAGCAAACAGCACAGCUCAUUUACCAAACGGCACUUAUGGAGAGUGGCUUCAUGCUGCAAGAUCCCAAAGAUUUUGCUUCCCGUAUCUACAGCUCUGUGAAAUCGAGCCUAAACAUCAGCCCAGAUGCAAAUGUUGAAGAGGAAGAUGAUGUGGAUGAAAAUGAAGCUGAAUCUGAAACAAAAGAAGCAGUAGAUACCUCCAAAGAUGAUGUGGAUACCGAAUCUUCUGCUGUCAAGGAUGAGUUGUAGACUGUCGGCAUUUUGUAUCACACUUCCAUCUAUUUAAAGCAGUCCUUUCUUCCUCCAGCACCGUCUCUUGAGAGGAGCUGAAAACAACAAUUAAUCAUGCAUUUUUCAGUUUGUCAAAUAUUGAAAACACUUGGCCCUUAGUGCUAAUGUAAUCGUACAAUCAGGAAUUUUGCUUUAGUAUCUAGUUGUUGAUGACUGUAUUUUCUGUGCAGUGUCUCUCGACUCUCGACUCUCCUUCACUCAUUCACAGAAAUGUUGGGUCUGCCCAAGCCAUCAUAUCAUGUAGGAUUAAGACACGGAGCCCAAAAUUCUCUAGCCUUUGAAAGUGAGAAGUUCGUGAUAUUAUUGAGGGUUUGUUCUUCCACGUGGAUUAGAGAAGAGAAGUUUUAUUAUUUAGUAACUCAACACUUGCGUUAAGAACAAAGUCAAAAUCAUAACAUGCGUGCAAGUCACACGAUCUCUAAAUCUCAGUCGUGUGCCUGCUCAGAUUGCAAGGGUUAUAGACUCAAAAACUACAUUAGUUUCCUCUGAUUGUCUUCUCUCAACAAGGUCUUCUGUUGGUAGAGCACGCACGUACUCCCAAGGACUAAUCAAAUCCAGCAGCAUCAAUAAGCCAUUCUUUUCAUUGCAGGCUAUCUAAUUGCUUAUAGAUAGCUGCCGCCUAUGCUUACUAAUCUCAGCCACCUUCCCAUGUUGUAGCACAACAGUUCCACUCGCGUAAAAGGUGAAGAAAAUUACAGCAGUCUUCUAUCGGUUCUAAGAACCCCGCAAUUACUAUGAAUGCGAAGGGUACUCGUAAUGAUCUGUCGUUUGCUUUAUCAACACACAAUCAACUUUAUCAAAUGAAAGAUUAUUGGCAGCUCAGAAGCAAAUAAUACUUAUAAGCUAAUUUGAAAUUAUAAACAUUUAAA